rnacentral:rRNA from 1 species
AACGAACGCUGGCGGCAUGCCUAACACAUGCAAGUCGAACGAGACCUUCGGGUCUAGUGGCGCACGGGUGCGUAACGCGUGGGAAUCUGCCCUUUGCUUCGGAAUAACAGUUAGAAAUGACUGCUAAUACCGGAUGAUGUCUUCGGACCAAAGAUUUAUCGGCAAAGGAUGAGCCCGCGUAGGAUUAGGUAGUUGGUGGGGUAAAGGCCUACCAAGCCGACGAUCCUUAGCUGGUCUGAGAGGAUGAUCAGCCACACUGGGACUGAGACACGGCCCAGACUCCUACGGGAGGCAGCAGUGGGGAAUAUUGGACAAUGGGCGAAAGCCUGAUCCAGCAAUGCCGCGUGAGUGAUGAAGGCCUUCGGGUCGUAAAGCUCUUUUACCAGGGAUGAUAAUGACAGUACCUGGAGAAUAAGCUCCGGCUAACUCCGUGCCAGCCGCCGCCGUAA